GACAGAGGGUGCAACCGUUGCUCGGAAUCACUGGGCGUAAAGGGCGCGUAGGCGGGAAUGUAAGUCGGGCGUGAAAUCCCUAGGCUCAACCUAGGAACUGCACUCGAAACUGCGUUUCUUGAGUAUCGGAGAGGAAAGCGGAAUUCCUGGUGUAGAGGUGAAAUUCGUAGAUAUCAGGAGGAACACCAGUGGCGAAGGCGGCUUGCUGGACGGUACUGACGCUGAGACGCGAAAGCGUGGGGAGCGAACAGG
rnacentral:rRNA from 1 species